AUGGUUCAUAGUUCCUCCUCUAGCUCUAUGCAUAGCAAUUACACACUAUACAACGUACACAAGUACGUACACAUAUUUCAGUAUGAUAUGUAUAUGUAUGUGUGUGUGUGUGUAGCAAUAUCUCUUUAGGUGGACACCGUUGGUGUCGCGCAUGACUUUGUAGAUUCCAAUAAUGUUUUGAUGAGUACUGUUUCGAAUCUCAUACUUAAUAUUGUUCCUGCUGUCAUGCACAAAUGAAAUAACAGUUAUCUUUAAAUAAUAUUUUGAUAAAUCUCUCCUUCACACGAUGAUAAAUUUAUUAAUGCUUCGUGGACCAACUUCGUUUCAGAGU